rnacentral:rRNA from 1 species
CAUGCAAGUCGAACGAUGAAGCCUCGCUUGCGGGGUGGAUUAGUGGCGAACGGGUGAGUAACACGUGAGCAACCUGCCCUGGACUCUGGGAUAACAGUUGGAAACAGCUGCUAAUACUGGAUAUGAAUCGUGGCCGCAUGGUCGUGGUUGGAAAGAUUUUUUGGUUCAGGAUGGGCUCGCGGCCUAUCAGCUUGUUGGUGAGGUAAUGGCUCACCAAGGCGUCGACGGGUAGCCGGCCUGAGAGGGUGACCGGCCACACUGGGACUGAGACACGGCCCAGACUCCUACGGGAGGCAGCAGUGGGGAAUAUUGCACAAUGGGCGGAAGCCUGAUGCAGCAACGCCGCGUGGGGGAUGACGGCCUUCGGGUUGUAAACCUCUUUUAGCAGGGAAGAAGCUUUUGUGACGGUACCUGCAGAAAAAGCGCCGGCUAACUACGUGCCAGCAGCCGCGGUAAUACGUAGGGCGCAAGCGUUAUCCGGAAUUAUUGGGCGUAAAGAGCUCGUAGGCGGUUUGUCGCGUCUGCUGUGAGAUCCCGAGGCUCAACUUCGGGUCUGCAGUGGGUACGGGCAGACUAGAGUGCGGUAGGGGAGAUUGGAAUUCCUGGUGUAGCGGUGGAAUGCGCUGAUAUCAGGAGGAACACCGAUGGCGAAGGCAGAUCUCUGGGCCGUUACUGACGCUGAGGAGCGAAAGGGUGGGGAGCAAACAGGCUUAGAUACCCUGGUAGUCCACCCCG